ensembl:lncRNA
CGCUUUGGGAGAUCCAGACAGAAUGAGUCAACUAUGAGCAGGGAUGACGCUCCACCGAGCGGUUUGCAGGGCCAGGCUCUGGCUGUCACUACAGGGGUGUUCAAAUACGUAUCAAAGGACGGUUGCCUCUGGCUCCGAGAUGGAAGUUCUGCCAGAGCUUUACCACCCGUUCAAUUUAAUUAUGAGACUACAAGGGGAACGACGUCAACUCUGUCAGCGGCUGUAAGAUAAUUGUUGUCUGGCUGCUUGGCGCUGCCAAGUCACUUCCUGUGUAUCAAUCUAGCAGAGCACGUAACAAACCAAGGGUUUAAUAUACACGUUGGAAUGAGUAUAUAAAAGUACUAUGAAAUAUGAAUUCACAAAUCUUUUGCAUCAGUCACCAUCUUCAAAGGGGACCAAACUCAACACCGCGAGGAGGGCAUUCAAAUAUCCCUUUACCUACACCUGCUGCAGAACUUCUGAUUGGCUGAAAACGGGUCACAUGCUGACUAAGGAUGAUUGGACACACCCCUCCUCGCUUAUUGGACCUGAAUUGCGUUUCCAGGGGUGCGACUGUAUUACUAAUCAUAUUGAUAAUUAUACCUCACUUCUCAAGCCACCAAAAGUGCUUUAAUAUGCGUGUAUGGGGUGCCCCACUCCACGCUGCGUGUAUGGGGUGCCCCACUCCACGCGUCUUGCUCAGGGUCACGUCGACACUCAGCUAGGAGGAGCCGGGGGAUCGAACUCGCAACCUUUAGGUUACCAGCCAGCUCUACAUCCUGAGCUACUGUCUGUCACCCCAGUCCAGGACCAUCCCAUCGCUUCUCAGAUCCAGAGGAACCAGCGGAGCCUCCCAGAAGGCGUUGUAUGGCAUCGCUGGAGACGGGAUUUGAACAGAGAUCCACAAAGGAGCGUUUCAGAGCCGUUCAUGUGAGCAUCCAUUGAGGGAGAUACACAGGAACAUGGCUCUGUGUUAUUCUACGGAGAGAAGAACUCAGAGGGAACUCUGAGUUCAACACCAGCCUCCAAAACAACUGAACGGGUGCCAAGAGAGAGAUGAACGAGGAGGCCUGCACCGCAUUAUACGGCCCGAUUUGACAGCUUAUGACAUCUUGUGUGUGCGUUUCCAAUACGCUCCCCCCCACAAAGCCUCUGCAAAGCCUCUCUAUUAAGCGACUGAUUUUGCUGUUUCCGAAAGGAGCACAUAAUGAAAUAGCUUUGCUAUAACUCUGUGAUAUCCACCACGCUGCUAAAAUGCCGAAUCCUUCAUAUCGGGCUGCCAGGCGUAAUUGCUAAAAGGGCAUUAUACCCGUGCUGGAUGUCUCUGCUGAGUUCUACUCAUUGUACCUGUGGGUCUUAAUCGGCUGCUUCCGCUUCUCGCCGCAAUCAGGUGGCUCGCAGCGUCGGCCAUCGACCGGUGAUUAGGGGGGCGGCGGUCGAUGAAUGAUGUGUGUUCUCCAGCGUAUCCAUCGCUGGACUUAUCAGCGCGGCGAUCAAUUACAGAGAUAAACAGAGCUCUCCGUCGGCGGAUCAGGGCGUCACGAGGAGUCAACACUGAGUUUGGAUGGCUCACUUCGCGCUGCCCCCUGGACGGGUGCAUUGUGGUUGGUGUGAGGACCGCCCUGUGGACGGGACACGCCACUGUUGUGACACAGCAAGGUAAACAAUGUGUCCGUGGUUGAAUCCUGCGGAAAAUACAAUUUCUGCGAUAGCAGUGAGUUUAAUUAACGAGUGAGGAUGGGACUGGAAUACACUUUGGAAUCCGGGGUGUAAAAACGUCCUGUAAGAUGAUUUUGCGUGUACUGUUGGGACACAUGUGCAUACAGUCUGCAUGUAGGCCUAUGGAGUAACAAUAAUAGGAACUGUCAUUUAGAUUGAUAGAUUUGGUUAAUAUAACCGUAAAGGCCAGUGCUGGCGAGCUGAAGUAAUGCAUAUCAAACAGGCUCCACGCUUCGGAGAGAAAACAGCUUUGGAUGACGAUAAUGUAAACAUGUUGAUACUCGCGUGGCGGAGACGUAAAGGGGCCUAAUUAUAUAUCAAAGGAAAUACAUGGCAUGAACCGCCCCAUGCCUCAUGGAGGCCAAGACUGCCCAUCGCUGCUAGUCUAGGAGCCGUAAUUAAAGACGAUAAGGAUGAUAAUUCAAACGCUUCCACGCGUUGCUGCGCUGAACACAACAAGGCCCUCUGACCUGGGGCAGCGACUCACCGAGUAAUGCCUGGCUUGAGGGCACGCACAUGUUCAGCUGACAAGGCAUUUGGUCGUUUGUUAUUUUACACCCAGCAGGGCGUUCUCCAGAGACUGCAGAGUAAGGUGUUUAUAAGGUUGUUUUAAUCAAAUGUAGUUGGAUUAUAAAGUAUAUAUUUUUAAAUAAUUAUUAAUAAAGUAGUUAUAUUAUUAAAAAGUUGUAUAAUUUAUAUCUAUAACCAAUUACAACCGAUUCAAUGGGAGAGGCAGCCAAGCGGCAGAUCUAACAGACUGACUAAGGUACUUUCAGUUGAUAUGCAGGAAAACGACAGAUGAUAUAGUAAAGGCAUCAGGAGAGAAGGAGAGGGACACAGAUGGGGCGUUUGUUCUGUGAACCCCAGGUGUGGCCCCCUUUACCCCCAUAAAGUCGACUCAAUGAACCUGGUGACUGGAGUGCAGGAUGGAGAUGCUACAAGGGUCUCUUCAUCUGGAUGACGUUGGUAUUAAAAUAGAAAUCACUAAACUUGAUUAGAUUACACAGAGGGCCUGAAACACUGUCGAUCCUGGGCCUGUCGGACGAAUGUCAGGAGAAGUACCCCCUGUUGGAGGGGAACGGACAUGAAGGUCUGAGAACCAACCAUCUCAGAGCAGCGCCUCCACGGAACGUCAGCGACAGACAAGAAGACCCGUUGGGGAGUGCUCCGGAGUGGAUCCAGAUGGAGUCUGGUCACACACGUCUUGCAGGGAGUUCUGGAAACGUUUGUCUACAACUCUGCUACAUAAGACGCUGUCUGUUUGGGAGAAUAAAUCCUUUCUUUGCUUCGAAAAUCUCACAAGUUGUUUUAAUUUGAAGGGAUUCAAAAUGCCUGCGUAAACAAGGCCAAUGUUGUACUACAGUGUGUGUGUGUGUGUGUGUGUGUGUGUGUGUGUGUGUGUGUGUGUGUGUGUGUGUGUGUGUGUGUGUGUGUGUUAGCAUAAAGGACUUGCUAUACAGAUAGAGGAGUGUAGCUGACCCUGAAGAGCUGAGUGGGUGGAAUCACCUUCCCGGGUUUCCGCCGUCAGAGCGGUGGAACUCAAGCCGCCAGUGAGAAGGACGCCGGCUUCCAUCUUGUUCCAUCGGUCUUCUUUCUUUUGAUAUAUAUUUUUGCAUUUUUCUGCUUUAUUAUAAUUUCUUCCAUUUAUACAUCGCUUUUUUUCAAGGUACCCAAAUCACAGUAGAACAGUGAAGGAGGGACCUCACUAACCACCAGCCAAUGUCUAGCACCCACUGGGGUGAUGCACGGCAGCCAAUCAGCGCCAGAACGCUCACCGCACGCCAGCUUGAGGUGGAGAGUGAGGGAAUUAAUGAAUCGGCCCAUUAUACAGGCUUAGAUAGAGUGAGAUAGACUGGAAGGUAGGGGGGAGAUGGAGGGGAGGACAUGCAGGAGGGGAGGACAUGCAGGAGGGGAGGACAUGCAGCAAAGGAUCACGGGGCUGGAAUCGAACCUUGGUCGCUGGGAUCAGGACUGAGCCUUAAUGGUACGCGCUCUACCCCUGGUGAGCCAGCAGGGGCGCCCACGCUCUUCUUUCUGAGAAGACCGUAACAAACGCUCUCAC